AGCGAACGCUGGCGGCAGGCCUAACACAUGCAAGUCGAACGGAUCCUUCGGGAUUAGUGGCGGACGGGUGAGUAACACGUUGGAACGUGCCCUUUGGUUCGGGACAACUCAGGGAAACUUGAUCUAAUACCGGCUGUUCCCUCCGGGGGUAAGAUUUAUCGCCAUUGGAGCGGCCCGCGUCUGAUUAGCUAGUUGGUGAGGUAACGGCACAUCAAGGCGACGAUCAGUAGCUGGUCUGAGAGGAUGAUCAGCCACACUGGGACUGAGACACUGCCCAGACUCAUACGGGAGGCAGCAGUGGGGAAUCGUGCGCAAUGGGCGAAAGCCUGACGGAGCCAUGCCGCGUGAAUGAUGAAGGUAUUAGGAUUGUAAAAUUCUUACAGCGGGGACGAUAAUGACGGUACCCGCAGAAGAAGCUCCGGCUAACUUCGUG
rnacentral:rRNA from 1 species